UCUAAUAAAAUUAUAACCAAACAGUACUGGAUGGGUCAUCCUUAGGGAUGUUGAAAUUAUGCAGAUGUUGACAGGAUAUGGGACAGAGGAAUAGAGGCAGUAAAGCCAGAUGCCAAGUCUACCCUGAAAAUCAGGGUGACCAAGAGACUGACAAAUGUAUUGCCUUGAGGAGUAGUAGAGGGUGAUAUGACGACACUGCAUGGAUUUAAAAGGCAUUGCUCUUUUUCGUAGGUGAUUUCUCACUAUCAAUGUAAAGAACAGCGUGAUGUCCACAGAUUUGAGAAAAUCAGCAACAUUAUUAAGCAAUUUAAGCUGAGCUGCAGCAAGCUGGCUGCCUCUUUCCAGAGCAUGGAAGUCAGGAACUCUAACUUUGCUGCUUUCAUUGACAUCUUUACAUCCAACACUUAUGUGAUGGUUGUGAUGUCUGAUCCAUCCAUUCCUUCUGCAGCUACUCUGAUCAAUAUCCGCAAUGCCAGGAAACACUUUGAAAAGCUGGAAAGAGUGGAUGGACCAAAGCAGUGUCUUCUCAUGCGCUAAAACAUUGCCAAAUGAUGUUUCAGAAAAAAAUUGGAAUACUGUUUCUUAAUCUUAAUGUUGUAUUAGUAUAUAUAGUCUCUGAAAUGUUGUGAUGCUUAUCACUUCUGUAUUUCUUCCCUACUCCCCAGUCUUAACGUUUAAGCUUGAAUGCUAUUUACUCAAAUAGCCAGUGAGGAGUUAGAAGAUGAGCUGUUUAUGAAGUUGGUGUGACAUAUAAAGUAGGUGAUAUAUUAAGUGUUCUGAUAACAAUGUUCUAAUAGUGCAAGUGUUCUGUUAACCUGGUUCCAGUUGUUGUGUAUGCCAAAGCCUUUCCCAACGUCAUCUUGUAUUCCUUACCAGAGAGUAACCUACAUGUUUGGAAUAUUACUGUUUUCUCAGCAUGCAUU